AAGUCGUAACAAGGUUUCCAUAGGUGAACCUGCGGAAGGAUCAUUAACACGUAUUCAAACGUUAAAACCGCCCCCUCCCGUGAACCUUCAUCCUGCUCUUGUAACCCGCGGCAAUGUUUCCCCAAGCGGUCAGUGUCGGAAAGUGUCAUUGAUUGUGCAAGGAUAGCGCUUCUACGAUUCCUGUCGACCGUCCACUCGGGCAGGAGCUUUGCCAAAGGGUCCCCAUGCCCCCUAAUAACCCCACAGUUUAAUGUGAAGCUCAAUGUAAUACAUUGGGUAAAAAAACCGAACAAGUGUUAACAAUGGAUAUCUUGGUUCUC
rnacentral:misc_RNA from 1 species